AAUAAGUAAAAGAAAAUACAAACACAACUUAAACGUUUGUGAGGAAGAAGUGACCACGAGAAUCCAUUUAAAUAGUUUUGUCUCUAAAAGGAAAUCGUGCACGAAGAAAAAUAUACAAUGACGAUAUAAUGGAAAAUAAAUUGAGCAUAACCGCGCGGUGUUCGAAGGGCUGCCAUUUCUAUCAGUGCGCGGCGGUCAAACACUCAAAACACGCGCGAUAAUGAACUGGAAAUACGAAAUAAGUGAGAGAGUUUGCCGGCUGCUGUUUUUUUCCUUCGAUUUUUUUCUUUCCUUUUUCGAAUUUCUCUGUUUUCUUUAUUCUUUUCUCUAUUCUAUUUUACUUUCUCUAUUCUCCAUUUUCUCUAUUCUACUUUACUUUCUUUAUUCUCCAUUUUCUCUGUACUUUACUUUCUCUAUUCUCCAUUUUCUCUAUUCUACUUUACUUUCUCUAUUCUCCAUUUUCUCUAUUCUACUUUACUUUCUCUAUUCUACUUUACUUUCUCUAUUCUCCAUUUUCUCAUAUUUUCUUUUUCGAUAUUUUUUUUCUUUUCAUUUUCAAGUCAACGUUUUUUUCUUUUAUUUUUGUCUUUGUAAGCCGAUUUUUUGUUCUUUUUCUUUUUUUUUCGUUAAUACGUUGGUUUUCUCUUCACUUUUUCAUUCUCAAAUCGACGUUUUCUCUUAGUUUGUUUUCUUUCCAAGCAGAUGUUUUUUUUCUUCCAUUUUCAUUUUUCGAUCAUUUCUUCUUUAACUCUCUUAUCUUUCUAUUUUCAGGUCAACGGUUUUCAUCUAUUUUCAUUUUCAAAUUGAUGUUUUUACUUUUAUAUUCUGUUUUAAGUCGAUUUUUUUCCUUAUCUUUCUAUUUUCAGGUCAACGGUUUUCAUCUAUUUUCAUUUUCAAAUUGAUGUUUUUACUUUUAUAUUCUGUUUUAAGUCGAUUUUUUUCCUUAUCUUUCUAUUUUCAGGUGGACGUUCUUCUACUUUCAUUUUUAAGUUGAUGUUUUUGCUUUUCUAUUCUGUUCUAAGUCGAUUUUUUCUCUUAUCUUUCUAUUUUCAGGUCGACGUUCUGCGGGUGUUUACGACGGCCGCGCGCUCCUCCGCCUCGUCCUCUCCGCGUUUUUAUUUAGUUUGCUUAUCGGUAAAUUCUUGUUAAGUCUCCCGUGGCUGUCGUUUUCUCCUUGUCGAGUGUCGUCUCUUCUUAUCAAAUUACCUUCCUCUCUUCUAUUUUCUCUUAAUUCUUCCUUAAGCCGACUCUUUCUCCUCCUCCUCCUCCUCCUCCUUCUCCCUCGUCUUCCUCCUCUUACGACUGGCAUUCCUCUCUCCUUCCUUCCAUCCGUUAGUUUUUUCUUUUUUUCAUGCCUGCUUCUCUCUCUCUCUCUCUCUCUCUCUCUCUCUCUCUCUCUCUCUCUCUCUCUCUCUCUCUCUCUCUCUCUCUAU